UACAGUCAUAUCAUGUUGAAAAACCAGUUCCCUUACAAUCACUGAAUUUAAGCAAUGUUGAUCCUGGUCAGUACCUAGAUGGGUGACUGCUUGAGAAUACCAGGUGCUGUAAG